rnacentral:rRNA from 1 species
AGGGAAUCUUCGGCAAUGGGGGCAACCCUGACCGAGCAACGCCGCGUGAGUGAAGAAGGUUUUCGGAUCGUAAAGCUCUGUUGUAAGAGAAGAACGAGUGUGAGAGUGGAAAGUUCACACUGUGACGGUAACUUACCAGAAAGGGACGGCUAACUACGUGCCAGCAGCCGCGGUAAUACGUAGGUCCCGAGCGUUAUCCGGAUUUAUUGGGCGUAAAGCGAGCGCAGGCGGUUAGAUAAGUCUGAAGUUAAAGGCUGUGGCUUAACCAUAGUACGCUUUGGAAACUGUUUAACUUGAGUGCAGAAGGGGAGAGUGGAAUUCCAUGUGUAGCGGUGAAAUGCGUAGAUAUAUGGAGGAACACCGGUGGCGAAAGCGGCUCUCUGGUCUGUAACUGACGCUGAGGCUCGAAAGCGUGGGGGGCAAACAGGAUUAGAUACCCUGGUAGUCCACGCCGUAAACGAUGAGUGCUAGGUGUUGGGUCCUUUCCGGGACUCAGUGCCGCAGCUAACGCAUUAAGCACUCCGCCUGGGGAGUACGACCGCAAGGUUG